CGCCGGGGAACGGAGUCGGUGCCCGGGCCGCCCCGGGGAAGGGACGCCUCCUUAUCUGCGCAGAUCGCGGACGUGGUAUGAACCCGGGCGCGGGAAGGCUCUGGGAGCCGGAGUUCACAGUACCGGACCGGCCGCCGGUUCUCGCGUGUUCGCGAAGCACGUUUGCAGCCCUACGUGGACACAGGUUUGCCCCUCAAUAGACGCGCUCACCCGGAGCAUGUUUGCAUCCCCAACACACCCUGUCUCAGUCUCCGGGUGGAAGACCAAAGCUAGGAAAGCACCCCUUCACCAAGUACCAGUACACGUGGUUUGAGCAUCUUCAGUUAAACUAGAAAUAUCAUUUUAGAAAAAUAUAUUUAUCUACACUCCAAAGAGCAACUGAAACAACCAAGAUUCUUCAAUGUAUCUUCAAAAUUAAACACUUUUCCUUAGUGGUA